AGUGCAACUGCUGGGUCAUAUGGCAAUUGCAUGUUUAGUUUUAUAAGAAACUGCCAAACUGCUUUCCAGAGUGGCUGUGCCAUUUUAAAUUCCCUCCAGCAAU
rnacentral:pre_miRNA from 1 species